CUGAGCUGUCCUUCUAGUCACCGGAGUGUGCUUUUGAAAUCUGAGUACAAAUGAAACAUAAGAAGAUCCUCAGUUAGCUGUCAACUGGCCUCCGUUCCAGCCUUGACCGUGCAUUGCAUAAGACCUGCAAACAGUCCUGAGGCAUUUGCAGCAGAUGGGUGAACCGCAGCUAUUGGCCAGCUGACUUGUCCCUGUGGGUUUCCAAACUCCAAGCCCUAACCCAGAUAGCUUUGAAAACAGCUGUUGGCACAAGACCAUCUUUUAGACUGAAGCCUGGAAAAAAUCUAUUAUUAAGUUAAUGCAGUACAAUAUUCCAAGGAGAAAACAAAUAGCUUACAAGAUAAUUAUAUCAGCACCUCUGGCUUGACACUUUCUUGACCUCAAAGACCCUGUUUAGCCCAGUAACUUGGACUUUUUGGAUUUUCAUCACGUUAUAAUUUCAAGGCCUUGGACAUUUCCCAUUGUUACCACUGAGAAGAGAGACCCAGGAGGGUGAGCUAUACGUGAGUGUAUUAAAUGGUGCAUGCUACAGAUAAGGCUUGUGCUUCUUUGCCUUCGCUGCGAGCGAGGUGGUAAACCCACAUUGUUAACUCAUUCCCAAGGUACUUGGAUUUUAUGCAUUUUCACUUUCAAGUGAGGAACUGAGCCUGCCUAGGGACAGUAGCCUGCUUCAGUGUAGCGUGACCACUGAGAAAGCCUGGGUUUGCAAUUGUCUCUUCUGCCUGUCUCCCUUGCUGACACGCUGCUCCAAUGAGGAGUCCCAUCACAGACCAUAGAGGGAAAGAACUUGGAGUGAGCGCCACCUCUUCCCGUUGCUGGUUCUCUAUUUUAGCUUACGUUACUGAAAUCAGUAAGAGUGGACAUAUUGAUUUGGUGGAGGAGAUUUCAAGACAGAGUGACAUUUAUUCUGUAGCACGGUUAUUGCCAGCUGCCUUGAGUCAGGCUUACAAUGUGAGUCAGGGCAAAAGCAGGUAGAAUUGUGUAAAAAGUAAUUCACUGGGCCUGACAAUGUACAGUUUGACAUAUAUGUACUCAAAGCUGCAGACAAAUCAAAUAUAGACAAAGGGUUCAGAAAUUAGUACCAUUAACAAAAGCAAAACAGUUUGUACAGGGGAAAUAGAAAGAUGUCUGGUGGGCAAGAUCUCAUCCGUUGAUGCCUCCAGGGUAUAAAAAUACAAACGCAUUUGAAGGACUUUCUUUUGAAAGGAUGCCCGAAAAGAGAGAGUAGCUAGGGUGCUUUGGUGGAAACAGGGAAGUGUUUUUCUACAUUCAACAUCAAAGUCCUACCAGGCCUCUACAGCCAUGGUCCAAUGCGGCCUGAUUUCUUCUCAGGCUUGAUGUAGAACUUUGCAUCAUCCACAUGAUACUGGCUUUUCAGGCACAUGGAACACAAGAAUUAGAAGAUUUUAAAGAAAAGUCUGGGAGGCCAGGCUGUGUGUGUGUGUGUGUGUGUGUGUGUGUGUGUGUGUGUAGGAUUGGACUACCUAUGGGGAGUCCCUGAGUAGGCUGUGCACAAAGCUGUCAGAGUAGAGCGAGUUGAAUUAGAGACCCCAGGAGCUAUGGGAUGUCUGCUGAGGAAGUCUGUAGUGAAUGAGUGGAGCCAUCUCAGGAGGGAGGCUAUGUGUGUGGCAGGCAUCACAGAGGUGGGUUACUCAAGUGCACCGCAACUCAAAUGAUGUCAUCUGCUUCCCCGCCUUGCUGGACAUGGAACUAUAGGACUUCAUCUUUCCCUCCUCGUUUUUUUUUUUUUUUUUUUAUCUUGCUUUUGUCCAGCUUUUCCUCAUGUUUCCCUCUCCUACCUUGUGUGCUGGAAAUGUUUACUCUGGCCAUUGCACAUGGGAAGUAUGUAAUAGAUUUUACUUUUAGAGGAUCUCACAGAUGAGAGACUGACUUCAGAAUCAAUAGAAUCUUUGGAUUUUGAACUUUUAAACAGAAGGAGGACUAUUAAGACUUAGGGGGGAGGUCCUUGGAGCUGGGCUGAUUGCUUUUGUAAGAUGAGAGCCUCUGGUGGGUCAAGAGCAGCAUCUAAACUAUUACCCACAGGCUUAUAUUCUGAACAUUUGUAACUGUCUGGUGGCUGUAUUUGGGGAGGUUGUGGAACUUUAGGAAGCCUGUCUGCUGGAAGUCACUGGGGAGCUUAUAGCCUGGCUCCCAGGUCUGGCCCGUCUCUGGUUCCUGGGAUGUCAGAGAGAGAGAGAGAGCAGCCUCUGUUGCAAGCUUGCUGUAAUGCCUUCACUAUGGUAAUGGGCUGAAAUGACUCUUGGAACUCACUCCAAACAGCUUGUGUUGUUUCUGCUGAGCAUCGUAGUCAGAGCAACACAAAGGGGUUGGUACCCCAGGCUUCUGUCGGAGUGUGAAGAGUUUCUACUACUGUGGUCAAUAAUGGUAGUUUUUCCCCAUUCAAAAGCUCUUGAGCGUUUGAAAUGUGUAGGUCCAAAUUAUGGUGUGCACUGUGGAUUUUAAAGACUUAGGAGGAAAAGAGUAAAUUAAAUUAUCAUGUUAAAAUUACUGCAUGUUGAAGCAGUAAAUUUUAUAUAUGUGGUUAAGAUAAUAUUGUAAUGAAACCCAUCUGUUUAUUUCAUUUUUUUAGUGUGGUUAAUAAAUAGUUUUAUUUGCUUA